rnacentral:lncRNA from 1 species
GCAGUAGGCACUUUCAGCUGAAACUCCUUGGGCUCAGAAUAAUUAAGGGUUUGCCUUUAGCAGGACUCCAGGGUGGGUGAUUAUUUAUCUGAGAGUGGUACCUCCAGUCCCCAGAGGGCAGGUCCCUUUGUGUAAGCACUGAGCAAACACACAGAAAGGGGCCCUCCCUUCCUGAGGAAUUUGUGGUCUAAACAAACAAGUGGGCUGAGUGCAGGAGAGGGGGCAGCAGAUGUGGCCAGGCAGGUGAAAUGACUCGCCCUGAGGUCACACUACAGAUUAAUGCUGAUGCCAGGCAGUGCUUCUGUCUUUUGAAUCCCAAUACAGUUCCCUCACCAGGAACCCAGACUUUUGCUCAUGAUCUAAAACUCCUCCCCUGCACAAGUCCUCUCCACCUCCCAUGGAUCUUCCUUUUUGCAGACUUGUACAUCAUCUGCCUCUGCUGCAGGGCUGCUCCAGUGUUGGACUGCUCAGCUCAUCUUCCCACUGCUGCUCUGUGCCAGAAAGAUGCUGAGGCACCUACUUGAGGAGAAGUCAUUGAGAUACGAAGCCCCAGCAGGACAGAUGAUUCCAGUCAGUCCUCUAAGCAGAGGCCAGAUCUGUCUCUGGUGAGCCCUUGGGGAUGGCUGGCUCCAGGCAGCUGCACAGCAAAUUUGGAUGGCUCAUUUUAUAACAUCCCUCUUCAGUAGGGAAGAUGGAUUGUCCGCUUUUCCUUAGGGUGAGGUGGAUUGUAAGGCUUGAAGUAGUAGAUCUCAGAGCUUUGUACUUUCUGAAAGGAUCAGCUGGACUCAGGUGAGGAAUCACUGACCUCACAACUGGCCACCAGCCUCAAAAAACUGCAAAAUGUGGUGAUUCCAAUGAAUCUGGUUCCAAUGGAGACUUUCAGAUGGUUAUAGACCAACUGACAAGAAAGGAAAAUUAUGUUUUGCAUGAAGUGUUUGCUGUGCCAGACUGUUAUCACCAAGAUUAGGUGUCAAACUGAGAAUGGAGGUAUGGUCUUGGGAAAAACAGGCAGGAAUGGACAUCCUUUCUGUUUAAAACAAUGCCCCUAGAAACACAGAGACCUGUCUGCUUUCAGCCAGGGCUACAUGACACACCUUUCUCUCCAGUCAUCCCAGCUGAUAAAGUGCAUCUUCUUUUAUUUCUCUAGUGAAGAAUCAGCAGAAGGCUUACAGUCAUGCAUUGCAAAUAAGGCAUAUUUACACUGUAGAGUGGGCUAAGAGAGAAAGGAGAAGAAAAGCCAUCCACUUUCUUGUGUAUAUCAAGUGUCUGGAUUUUAGAAUAACCAAAAGACAUGGCAUUCUUGUCCUGUAUUUUAUUAGGAAAUUAGCAGGCUGAUAGAUAACCUGAAAUUACAUAGUGAAUCUCAUUUUAAAAACAUUCAAAAUCAUAGAAUAAUUUUGAUUUCUCUGAAAACAUAAUGCCCUGAUACAAUUCUUCUUUAUGCCUGUAAAUUUCUACACCCUUAACAUUUAUGUAUUAUACAACAGAGAGGCUGGAUAACUGUAACAGAAUCUGGAAAUACAGAAUACUUAAUACAGGACUUUCUCUGCAGUCCAAGUGAAAGAGACAAAAUGUUGGAAAGAAAGCUCAGAAUGUGAGAGUUCCCUAUGAGAAAGUUCCCUGUGAUCUCAUUCAUUAUGCAUCAGUAUUUCAGAUUGGUAAUAUUGGUCAGAAGACUGGCAACACUGCCUGCUGUGCCAAGGUAUGAGGCUUUAGGGCAUCCCCCAGGAGAGGGAGACCACAGGCUCUGCAGUGAGGGGAACAGGGUGCACUGGAUGUGUAGGAUGCUCAAAGUGCAAGAGCUGAUAAACGUGUCUACAUCUUUCCUUUCCCCAGCAGUUUGAGCCACGUUGGACCACCACCACGUUGGACCAAAGAGCUUUUCCUGAGGCUGUCAGCAUUAAAGACUGAUAUGAUUCAGGUGCUAAGUCCCUGCAAGGGUUUAGUAAUUUCAGCCUUAGUAAUCAAAUCCUGCUCACGGGUGUGUGUGAGGACUCACACUGAGCCAACGCUGUUUGUUUCAUUGCAGUCAUCAUGUGGGCAAGUGUGGUUCAGCCUCAUGGGUUGUAGCUGAGGCCCUCAAGUCUUUAAAUAAAGAGCUGGCACUUGUCA